rnacentral:pre_miRNA from 1 species
CAAGUACUCCCUCCGUCUCAAAAUUCUUGUCUUAGAUUUGUCUAAAUGCGGAUGUAUCUAGUUACGUUUUAGUGUUAGAUACAUCCGUAUCUAGACAAAUCUAAGACAAGAAUUUUGGGACGGAGGGAGUACCUA